rnacentral:rRNA from 1 species
AGAGUUUGAUCCUGGCUCAGGAUGAACGCUAGCGGCAGGCUUAACACAUGCAAGUCGAGGGGCAGCGCGGGGUAGCAAUACUCUGGCGGCGACCGGCGGAAGGGUGCGUAACACGUGAGCGACUUGCCCGUCACAGGGAGAUAACCGGCGGAAACGGCGACUAAUAUCCCAUAUGAUCCGAAGCUACAUGGCGUCGGAUUGAAAGAUUCAUCGGUGACGGAUAGGCUCGCGGGACAUUAGCUUGACGGCGGGGCAACGGCCCACCGUGGCGACGAUGUCUAGGGGUUCUGAGAGGAAGAUCCCCCACACUGGAACUGAGACACGGUCCAGACUCCUACGGGAGGCAGCAGUGAGGAAUAUUGGUCAAUGGGCGGAAGCCUGAACCAGCCAUGCCGCGUGAAGGAAUAAGGCCCUAUGGGUCGUAAACUUCUUUAGACGCAGAGCAAUAAGGUCCACGAGUGGAUCGAUGAGAGUAUGCGUAGAAUAAGCAUCGGCUAACUCCGUGCCAGCAGCCGCGGUAAUACGGGGGAUGCGAGCGUUAUCCGGAUUUAUUGGGUUUAAAGGGUGCGUAGGCGGCAAGGUAAGUCAGCGGUGAAAGACCAGGGCUCAACUCUGGAAGUGCCGUUGAUACUGUCUGGCUAGAAUGAUUCCGCCGUGGGAGGAAUGAGUAGUGUAGCGGUGAAAUGCAUAGAUAUUACUCAGAACACCGAUUGCGAAGGCAUCUCACGAGGGGUUCAUUGACGCUGAGGCACGAAAGCGUGGGGAUCGAACAGGAUUAGAUACCCUGGUAGUCCACGCAGUAAACGAUGAUGGCUAACUGUCGGGCCUUAGGGUUCGGCGGCCAAGCGAAAGCGAUAAGCCAUCCACCUGGGGAGUACGACCGCAAGGUUGAAACUCAAAGGAAUUGACGGGGGCCCGCACAAGCGGAGGAACAUGUGGUUUAA